rnacentral:lncRNA from 1 species
CCACGACCCACGUCUUUUUACCCACGACCCACGCCUUUUUACCCACGACCCACGCCUUUUUACCCACGACCCACGCCUUUUUACCCACGACUUACGACUUUUUACCCACGACCCACGACAUUCUACCCACGACCCACGACAUUCUACCCACGACCCACGACAUUCUACCCACGACCCACGACUGUUAGCUAGUCCCAAUCUCAGCC